AGGUCACAAUCAACAUUCAUUGCUGUCGGUGGGUUGAGCUGUGUGGACAAGCUCACUGAACAAUGAAUGCAACUGUGGCC
rnacentral:miRNA from 1 species